rnacentral:rRNA from 1 species
UACAGAGGUCUCAAGCGUUGUUCGGAUUCAUUGGGCGUAAAGGGUGUGUAGGUGGCGCGCUAAGUCGGGUGUGAAAUUUCGGAGCUUAACUCUGAAACUGCAUUCGAUACUGGCGUGCUUGAGGACUGGAGAGGAGACUGGAAUUCAUGGUGUAGCAGUAAAAUGCGUAGAGAUCAUGAGGAAGACCAGUGGCGAAGGCGGGUCUCUGGACAGUUCCUGACACUGAGACACGAAGGCCAGGGGAGCAAACGGG